rnacentral:miRNA from 1 species
UGGUAGACCGGUGACGUACA